AUGAACGCUGGCGGCGUGCUUAACACAUGCAAGUCGAACGGUGAACACGGAGCUUGCUCUGUGGGAUCAGUGGCGAACGGGUGAGUAACACGUGAGCAACCUGCCCCUGACUCUGGGAUAAGCGCUGGAAACGGCGUCUAAUACUGGAUAUGUGACGUGACCGCAUGGUCUGCGUUUGGAAAGAUUUUUCGGUUGGGGAUGGGCUCGCGGCCUAUCAGCUUGUUGGUGAGGUAAUGGCUCACCAAGGCGUCGACGGGUAGCCGGCCUGAGAGGGUGACCGGCCACACUGGGACUGAGACACGGCCCAGACUCCUACGGGAGGCAGCAGUGGGGAAUAUUGCACAAUGGGCGCAAGCCUGAUGCAGCAACGCCGCGUGAGGGAUGACGGCCUUCGGGUUGUAAACCUCUUUUAGCAGGGAAGAAGCGAAAGUGACGGUACCUGCAGAAAAAGCGCCGGCUAACUACGU
rnacentral:rRNA from 1 species